rnacentral:rRNA from 1 species
GAUGAACGCUGGCGGCGUGCCUAAUACAUGCAAGUCGAGCGAACAGACGAGGAGCUUGCUCCUCUGACGUUAGCGGCGGACGGGUGAGUAGCACGUGGAUAACCUACCUAUAUGACUGGGAUAACUUCGGGAAACCGGAGCUAAUACCGGAUAAUAUAUUGAACCGCAUGGUUCAAUAGUGAAAGACGGUUUUGCUGUCACUUAUAGAUGGAUCCGCGCCGCAUUAGCUAGUUGGUAAGGUAACGGCUUACCAAGGCGACGAUGCGUAGCCGACCUGAGAGGGUGAUCGGCCACACUGGAACUGAGACACGGUCCAGACUCCUACGGGAGGCAGCAGUAGGGAAUCUUCCGCAAUGGGCGAAAGCCUGACGGAGCAACGCCGCGUGAGUGAUGAAGGUCUUCGGAUCGUAAAACUCUGUUAUUAGGGAAGAACAAAUGUGUAAGUAACUAUGCACGUCUUGACGGUACCUAAUCAGAAAGCCACGGCUAACUACGUG